rnacentral:rRNA from 1 species
AACGAACGCUAGCGGCGUGCCUAACACAUGCAAGUCGAGCGAGAAAAGACUUCGGUCUAAGUAAAGCGGCGCACGGGUGAGUAACACGUGGGUAACGUACCCUCGGGUGGGGAGUAACAGACCGAAAGGUUUAGUCUAAUACCGCAUCAGACCACAGUCCUCGCGGGGACGAGGGUCGAAAGGGGCGUGUCGCAAGGCAGCUCUCGCCUGAGGAUCGGCCCGCGGACCAUUAGCUAGUUGGUAGGGUAACGGCCUACCAAGGCUACGAUGGUUAGCUGGUCUGAGAGGACGAUCAGCCACACUGGGACGUGGAACACGGCCCAGACUCCUACGGGAGGCAGCAGUGGGGAAUAUUGCGCAAUGGGCGAAAGCCUGACGCAGCAACGCCGCGUGGGUGAAGAAGGCCUCGUGU